rnacentral:tRNA from 1 species
GAAGGUAUAGCUCAUGUGGUAGAACACAUGCUUGGCAUGCGAGAAGUCCUGAGUUCAAUCCCCAGUACCUCCA